rnacentral:misc_RNA from 1 species
GAAUAAAAACAACAAUAAAUGAAUGUCACUGCUAUACAGUUCAUCUUGAAUCUGUAGAGAUUGUUUUUUCUCAUUACUCAUUACAGAAAAUUACAGAGGCAAAUGUGGUGACUGCAGCCUUAUCCUCUCUCCAAAGCGAGAUGGCAGAAUUUCUUUCUGAUCCUCUUCUCAAAGUAUAUGCAUGAAGUGGUUGAAUAAUGAACUUCAGAGAGCUCUUCACUCAAGAAAUACCUCAACUUGGUCCCGGCUAGUUCAAAAGCUUCUCUUAAAGCUUUGACAUUGCAUAGAACUCAGCUGGGGCCGGCAACUCCAAUUCAUAAUUCAAGUUUGAAAUUUGGAAUGGCAGCAGCUCACAUCUUGAUCACUUCUCCGGUUCUCU